rnacentral:rRNA from 1 species
CGGCAGCGACAACAUUGACCCUUCGGGUGAUUUGUUGGGCGGCGAGCGGCGGACGGGUGAGUAAUGCUUAGGAAUUUGCCCAGUCGAGGGGGACAACAGUUGGAAACGACUGCUAAUACCGCAUACGCCCUACGGGGGAAAGCAGGGGCUCUUCGGACCUUGCGCGAUUGGAUAAGCCUAAGUGAGAUUAGCUAGUUGGUGAGGUAAUGGCUCACCAAGGCGACGAUCUCUAGCUGGUUUGAGAGGAUGAUCAGCCACACUGGGACUGAGACACGGCCCAGACUCCUACGGGAGGCAGCAGUGGGGAAUAUUGCACAAUGGGCGAAAGCCUGAUGCAGCCAUGCCGCGUGUGUGAAGAAGGCCUUCGGGUUGUAAAGCACUUUCAGCGAGGAGGAAAGGUUGACGGUUAAUACCCGUCAGCUGUGACGUUACUCGCAGAAGAAGCACCGGCUAACUCCGUGCCAGCAGC